AUGGCAUUUUUGAAGCAAUGUCUAAUUUUCUUACUUGUUUGGAUUGGAUUAAUAAACGGCCAAUCUACACCACUUUUCAAAGCCAAUGGAAAAGUCGUAUGGCAAAGUGAAGGAUUCAAAUUUGAAGAAAACACAUCUUCGACAGUUGGCGGUACAGCUGGCCGGUUCACCUCGCCUAUACCAGUGUCACCUAUGGUGAGGGAAAGUACAUUUGUCAUACUGCCAGCCGAGGGAACCCAAUCUGGAGACUUGACACCAGAUUUCGAUAAUGUUCACAUGGAGUCAAUAGAUAAUAAGAUUCAAGGUAAAAGUUCGCUAACAGAAUCAGUGAUAAAUGAGUCUGUUGAUCAAAUCCAGACUACUAAUGACGUUGCUGAGGCUUCCAUUGUGGAUAAACUUUCUCAACCGGAGGAGUUAACGUCAACUGCAGGUAACAUUGACGACGCAGCCACAGAAAAUAAAACUACGGCAGUACCCGCCGACGUGAUUAUAGAAGCUGCACCAACAACUCAAACAUCAGUAACUGCUAAAAUCUUGACUUCAACGGCAGCACCUCUAGAAAAUUUAUGUGUUAAUAGUGUCUACAUUGACAGUAUCGGCUACAACAAAUAUCCCGGUUCCUGUAACAAAUUUGUCCAAUGUUAUAACAACUACCAGAACACCAAAGCUGUUCUAAGGGAAUGCCCCGCUGGGUUAUUCUGGCAUCAAGACCAUGCUAUGUGCAAAUCUCCAGACAAGGUCCCGUGCUUUGAAGACCACUGUCUCAACCUCGGCGUAGAUGCUUACAAACGUUCAGGUGGUUGUAGAUCCUAUUUCUCUUGUGAAUAUGGAGUUUCCGUUCCUACCUGUUGCAAAAAGGGCUUCCGAUUUGAUGGAAAGGCCUGCGUGAAAGAUAGUUCGUGUAACGACAUUUGUGUAACACCAAAUGAUUUGAAAAGAAAACUGAGCCAACAAAUGUGCAGGUUUCUGCCGGACAAGAACAAUCGUUUUGGGUACCUUACUCUAGAACACAGCGGUAUCCGUUUUCGGGCUUGUCCUUAUGGAACUGAGUUCAGUGCCCGCCAGUGUGGAUGUACAUGGAUCCAGUUCACAGCUUACCAAAAUCCAAGAAAAGAAGUUUGCAAACCUGAUUUCAAGAUGAAUUUCGACACAAACUCAUUCAGAGAACUUUCCGGAUCCAACAUGGCGUUCUAUGUUGAAAACGCCGUUGCUCAAAACGGUGCGGCUAAAUUUAGAGGAAACGGGAAAAUAACCAUUUGGGGCUUUAUGAACAAGGAGCUUGGACACGACUUUGCUGUAAGAAUUCGUUUUAAGCCCUUUAACACUGAAGGCGGGUAUGGAAUGCUGGUGUCCAACUGUGGACACGAGGGUCUUCCAACGGUUGAGAUUUCGAUGCAAGACAAAAAAGCUAGACUGAUUGCUAAGAGUAUGCAUUCUAGCUCUCCCUCUGUUCUUGAGUAUCACAUAGUGCCUUAUGAAUGGAACGAAAUUUCUUAUCAUUACAAUGGAAAUACUUUCACUGCGGAAAUUAAUGGAAACAGCAUCUCCGAACAACUGAUUGGCGGAAUAGAAACAAGUCCGAACCCGAUGUUUAUUGGGGGUUGUCCGAAACCAGGAUCCGGAUUUAACGGGUUAAUAGACAACGUUGAAAUCUACAGUACAUGCGUCCCGUCUAAUUUCCUACAGUAAAGAAAGUAACGAAUGAAAUCCGACUUCAUGUAAACAUUCGCACUCAACUCCCACAGAUCAUUUCGCAUUUAGUCAUCUACUUAUCCGCUAUUUAUUUUUCAUCUUUAUUUAUUAUCAUAAACCCCAUUUGAUCAGUACGUGCGGCAUGACCAAACCCC
rnacentral:sRNA from 1 species